GACGAACGCUGGCGGCGUGCUUAACACAUGCAAGUCGAACGAAGAGCGACGGAAGCUUGCUUCUAUCAAUCUUAGUGGCGAACGGGUGAGUAACGCGUAAUCAACCUGCCCUUCAGAGGGGGACAACAGUUGGAAACGACUGCCAAUACCGCAUACGAUCUAAUCUCGGCAUCGAGGAUAGAUGAAAGGUGGCCUCUACAUGUAAGCUAUCACUGAAGGAGGGGAUUGCGUCUGAUUAGCUAGUUGGAGGGGUAACGGCCCACCAAGGCGAUGAUCAGUAGCCGGUCUGAGAGGAUGAACGGCCACAUUGGGACUGAGACACGGCCCAGACUCCUACGGGAGGCAGCAGUGGGGAAUCUUCCGCAAUGGACGAAAGUCUGACGGAGCAACGCCGCGUGAGUGAUGACGGCCUUCGGGUUGUAAAGCUCUGUUAAUCGGGACGAAAGGCCUUCUUGCGAACAGUUAGAAGG
rnacentral:rRNA from 1 species